rnacentral:siRNA from 1 species
CGACGGGCGGUGUGUACAAAG